UUGGAAGGUCAGAUGGGUUCUUCUCCAAAAAACUGAUUCAGACUUCUCAAGCAAACAGAUGGGUCAGACACGGACGAUUCGCUCUGUUUGAUAACACCGCUGCUCGCAGGUUUACUGUUCUCAUUACUGGACUGAUGAUGGAAGACUCUGGAUUGUACUUAUGCGGUGUGGAUAUUAAACUACAGACUGAUCCUGUUUCUGAAAUAAAAAUAACAGUAAGGAAAGGUAAAACCCAGAGACCCACAACACCACCAAGAGUGGUAAUCAGCAGUUUGCACAGUCCUACAAAUAUCACCGCACAGAAUCAGGCUCAUAACAAAAAC